rnacentral:rRNA from 1 species
UACGUAGGGGGCUAGCGUUGUCCGGAAUCACUGGGCGUAAAGCGCACGUAGGCGGAUUGUUAAGUCAGGGGUGAAAUCCUGGAGCUCAACUCCAGAACUGCCUUUGAUACUGGCGAUCUCGAGUCCGGGAGAGGUGAGUGGAACUGCGAGUGUAGAGGUGAAAUUCGUAGAUAUUCGCAAGAACACCAGUGGCGAAGGCGGCUCACUGGCCCGAUACUGACGCUGAGGCACGAAAGCGUGGGGAGCAAACAGG